rnacentral:rRNA from 1 species
GGGGGGGGCAAGCGUUGUUCGGAAUUACUGGGCGUAAAGGGCUCGUAGGCGGCCAACUAAGUCAGACGUGAAAUCCCUCGGCUUAACCGGGGAACUGCGUCUGAUACUGGAUGGCUUGAGUUUGGGAGAGGGAUGCGGAAUUCCAGGUGUAGCGGUGAAAUGCGUAGAUAUCUGGAGGAACACCGGUGGCGAAGGCGGCAUCCUGGACCAACACUGACGCUGAGGAGCGAAAGCCAGGGGAGCAAACGGGAUUAGAUACCCCGGUAGUCCUGGCCCUAAACGAUGAAUGCUUGGUGUGACGGGUAUCGAUCCCUGUCGUGCCGAAGCUAACGCAUUAAGCAUUCCGCCUGGGGAGUACGGUCGCAAGG